AACAUCCCAAAGAGAGAGAAAAAAAAUCUGGGAGAUUAAAGAAAAACAAUUGAACGAAUCAGGAGAGUUGCAGGGGAUUUGAUCAUAACAAAACCAAUUUAAGGUCUCAUCCGCCAUUGCAACAUUUGUAUAUAUCAUUCAUUGGCAUGCAAAGAGAGUGAGACGAGGAAUGAGAGUUGAGAAACAGAGACAUGCAACAAUCAGGCCUGUCUUUACGACAUUUUUACAUGCACAUUGUCUACAUAUGUGAACAACCAUUCAUUUGUUAUGGAUUUCUCACAUUUUUUGAGAUAAAUUAGGGUUCUAUUGCUCCUCUAAUCCUCGUAAAUGUCUGCCUCAAAAACUGUAGUAGUUGGAUCUCAAGUCUGGGUCGAGGAUCCUGAGAUAGCUUGGAAAGCGGGGGAGGUUGAGGCAGUCAAAGGUGGCGAGAUUACAGUAAAAUGCACAUCAGGAGACACGGUUGUAUGUAAAUCAUCCGCUGUCCAUCCCCAAGAUCCUGAGUUCCCUGAGAGUGGUGUAGACGAUAUGACAAAACUAACUUAUCUGCAUGAGCCUGGGGUUUUGCAGAAUAUAAGUUGCCGAUACAAUCUCAAUGAAAUAUAUACUUAUACAGGUGAAAUAUUAAUUGCUGUGAAUCCAUUCCAAAGUCUACCACAUUUAUAUGACAAGGAUGUGAUGGGAAAGUAUAGAGGGGCUGCUUUACAUGAGCUGAGCCCGCACCCCUUUGCUAUUGCAGACUCAGCA